rnacentral:rRNA from 1 species
GACGAACGCUGGCGGCGUGCUUAACACAUGCAAGUCGAACGAAGUGGCGAAUGGGUGAGUAACGCGUAAUCAACCUGCCCUUCAGAGGGGGACAACAGUUGGAAACGACUGCUAAUACCGCAUACUGAAGGAGGGGAUUGCGUCUGAUUAGCUAGUUGGAGGGGUAACGGCCCACCAAGGCGAAGAUCAGUAGCCGGUCUGGGAGGAUGGACGGCCACAAUGGGACUGGGACACGGCCCAGAAUCCUACGGGAGGCAGCAGUGGGGGAUCUUCCGCAAUGGACGAAAGUCUGACGGGGCAACGCCGGGGGGGUGGUGACGGCCUUCGGGUUGGAAAGCUCUGUUAAUCGGGACGCGGUACCGGAAUAGAAAGCCACGGCUAACUACGUGCCAGCAGCCGCGGUAAUUC